UUAGGAAUAUUCGUCAAUGGGGGAAACCCUGAACGAGCAAUGCCGCGUGAACGAUGACGGUCCUCUGGAUUGUAAAGUUCUGUUGUUUGGGAAGAACGGCUUUAAUAGGAAAUGAUUAAAGAUUGACUGUACCAUUCAAGAAAGCCACGGCUAACUACGUGCCAGCAGCCGCGGUAAUACGUAGGUGGCGAGCGUUAUCCGGAUUUAUUGGGCGUAAAGCGUCCGCAGCCGGUUUAUUAAGUAUAGAAUUAAACUUCGGGGCUCAACCCCGUCUCGUUCUAUAAACUGAUAGACUAGAGUGUGGUAGAGGCAAGUGGAAUUUCUAGUGUAGCGGUAGAAUGCGUAGAUAUUAGAAGGAACACCAGUGGCGAAGGCGACUUGCUGGGCCAUCACUGACGGUCAGGGACGAAAGCGUGGGGAGCGAAUAGG
rnacentral:rRNA from 1 species